GUUAGCAAAGAUGCUUGGUUGCUAAAAAUGGCAGGUGUUGUUAGCAAUGAUGUUUGGAAAAAUUGGGAUAAAACAGGAAAAAGUGAAUUCAUCAAAACAUGUAUCCAGUUGUUGAAAGAUGAGCAUAAAUCACCCGUUUUUGAUAAAUCUGGGAAAGUUUCAAGUAUCAUAACCAAUAUCAAUGCGUUAAUUGAUAAAGGCCUGAAAGGGCAGUUGAAAGUGGAAGCGGUUGUUUCAACGCUUCAGGAACUUGUGACGUUACAUCCAGACAUACCAUCGAUAAUAUUAGAUGUGUUAAGUAUAACAGAUGCAUCAUGUAUACCCGAUAGUAGUAAUGAAGACUCUAAAGAAAGGAAUAAUUUGUGUUUUAUUAUUAAAGAAUGUGAAAAGAUUCUCUCAGACCAACUGUUGAAAGAACGAUUGGAAAUAGACAGUUUACAAGAAGUUGGAAUUUUAAAAAACAAAACUUUUUAUUCGAAAUUUAUCAAAGUGAAGACGAAAUUAUACUACAAACAACGAAAGUUUAAUUUAUUCCGCGAAGAAUGUGAAGGUUUCGCAAAACUACAAACCGAAUUGAACCAAGAAUUUGGCGAAAACACGAACCAUGAAAACGUGUUAGAUAUCGUGCAAUCUUUAAUUGGAUGUUUUAAUCUUGACCCAAACCGAGUUCUCGACAUUAUUUUAGAGAGCUUUGAAAACAAACCAAAGGAUGCGAAACUAUUUGUUCCUCUAAUAUGCGCGUACAUGAAAGACCCAAAAAUCGUCAGUGAAGUGUUAGCAUCGAAGUUCACGUUUUUGAGAAACAGCGAAAGCAGUGUACCCCGAUCUUUAUACAUACUAACCGCACAAUUACUUCAACAUAAUAUUAUAUCGCUCGAUGACAUUUACCUAUGGUUGACUCCGGAAGAUAAAGUUAUGUAUAAAGAGUGUGAAAAAGCUAUGAAAGAUGCUAAAGAAUACGUCCGGAAAUUGCAAAUAAUAUCGAUUAAUAACAAGGAGAAAGAAGAGACGCCUGAAGAACCCGAGAAUGUGUUGGAGAAAUACAAUUCUAACCAGAAGUUGGGUUUAUGUGAGGCUCUACUUUUAGUAGGAGAUUGGGAAAACGCGAAAAACUUAAUUAAUCGUUUGCCGGACCAUUAUGCAUUAUCAUUCCAACCUAUCGCGUUAGCUCUUUGUAAAUUGCUUCAUUACAUAAUCGAACCCGUUUAUCGAGAUUGUAGAUUUUGUAAAUUGGGACCAAAAAUCAAAGGAAAACCUAUUCCACCACACGAUAAUCCUCUUAGCCCCAAGCAAGCCAAAACGUUUCUAGAACUCCGUGAACAUGCCAUACCAAUGUUGAUAACAUUAGGAGCGUCGUUACGUUUCGACCCUGUUUUGAUGUAUAAAAUUAUAAGAAUUGCUAAAGCGGCGUUGACUUCUUACGGGGUUGACUCUUCAAAAUCACCAUGUCCUUCUGGAGACACUUUAUAUCAUGAUAUUCUUACCAUUCUGGACACGACAAUUCUUUCAUCUUUGUCAUACAUGGAUUGCAACUGUUGCAUAGCUGAAGAAGUUUGGACUGUACUAAAACUUUAUCCAUAUCAAAAUAGGUACUGUCUUUACAGCAGAUGGAAAAACGAAACUUACUCUUUGUACCCCGAUUUACUACGUAAAAGAGGAGAUUCGGAGAAACAAAUCAAGAACAUCAUGAAACGCGUCAGUAAAGAAAACAUUAAACCAGUUGGUAGAUUGAUUGGAAAACUGACACACUGUUCGCCAGGGUUUUUGUUCGACUAUAUUUUGUUACAAAUUCAAGUUUACAGUAAUUUAAUACACCCCGUUGUUGAUUCGUUGAAAUAUUUAACAAGUUUAUCGUAUGAUGUUUUGGGAUUUUGUUUAGUUGAAUGUUUAGCUAACGCUGAUAAAAAACGAGUGAAACAUGAUAGUACGUCUAUAUCAACAUGGUUACAAAGUCUCUCGAGUUUUUGUGGAGCGGUAUACAAAAAAUAUAUUAUCGAAUUGACGGGACUUCUACAGUACGUCGCUAAUCAGCUGAAAGCACAAAAAAGUUUGGAUCUUCUCAUUUUGAAAGAAAUCGUUCAGAAAAUGGCAGGCGUUGAAGCUGCCGAAGACUUGACUAUGGAACAAGUUAAUGCAAUGGCUGGUGGUGAGCUAUUGAAAGCUGAAGCAGGCUAUUUAAGUCAAGUUCGCAAUACAAAAAAAUCGUCGUUGAGACUGAAAGAGGCAAUGUCUGAGCAUAAUUUAGCCGUUGCUUUAUGUUUAUUAAUGGCACAACAGAACUACUGUGUUGUUUAUAGAGAGACUCAAAAGAACCAUUUGAAACUGGUUGGGAAAUUAGCGGACCAAUGCCAAGACACAUUGGUACAGUUUGGGACGUUUCUGGGAUCUUCGCUUUCUGUCGAUGAAUACGUUAAUAAGUUGCCAACGAUACAGAGUAUGCUUUUAGAUUAUCAUAUUCCCAACGAAGUGGCGUUCUUUUUGGCAAGGCCGAUGUUUAAUCACGCCAUAAACAUAAAAUACGACCAGUUAAGAAAGUCAGAUCCUAAUUACAAAAAGUUGUCAACGAACGUAAAAAAUCAGAAAUACUACGAAGCCGUGACGGAAGUCAUGGAACCCGUACAUAAGUCCAUUAUUCCUCUACAUCCCGCCAAAAUUUGGGAGGAUAUCUCACCACAAUUUCUCACCACAUUUUGGUCCCUCACAAUGUAUGACCUCUACGUACCUGAUGAAACGUACCAACAAGUAAUAACGAAAACCCGUCAGCAGUCUCAAGCAACGUUAGAAUCAAGCAAUAACAACAAAGGCAAGAAAGAACAAGAACGUUACGUAACCUUAGGCGAAAAGUUACAAGACGAAAAAAAGAAGCAACAUGAGCAUGUGGAAAAAGUGAUGUACAGAUUAAAGCAAGAAAAAGACACGUGGUUUCUGUCUCGAUCGGCUAAGUCCGCCAAGAAUGAAACCAUCACGAGAUUUUUGCAGCUGUGCUUAUUUCCACGAUGCACUUUUACUUCAAUUGAUGCAGUGUAUUGUGCGAAAUUCGUCCACGUAAUUCACAUGCUUAAGACACCGAAUUUUUCGACGUUAUUGUGUUACGACAGGCUAUUUUGCGAUGUUACCUAUUCGAUUACUUCGUGUAGCGAGAACGAAGCCAUGCGUUAUGGACGAUUCUUGUAUGCCAUGCUUGAAACUGUGAUGCGUUGGCACAAAUCAAAAGAACUUUUUGAAAAAGAGUGUGCCAAUUAUCCGGGUUUUGUUACUAAAUACCGACUGAAUAAUCAACAUGCUGACAAUUUGGAUAAUGUUGGUUAUGAGAAUUACAGACAUGUGUGCCAUAAGUGGCACUACAAACUAGCUAAGGCUAUGGUGACGUGUUUGGACUCCAAAGACUACGUACAAAUCAGAAAUUCCUUGAUUAUCCUUAUCAAGAUCAUUCCAUUUUUCCCGGUCUUGCAAAAGGUCGGACAGUUCAUAGAAAAGAGAAUAGAGAAGGUCAGAGACGAAGAGAAGAAUAAUAGGCAGGACUUGUUUACUUUGUCCAGUAGUUACCUGGGAUUGCUGAAACAGAGAAUCAUCAGCGGACACAUGGUGAAAGAAAGUGAUUUCCAUAUUUUGGUGGAGAAAGAAAAGGUGGUGAAAGGUCACGACAGUAAGAGCGACAGUGGUUCGAAUAAGCAUAACGGAGAAGUUAAAGAAGACAGCAACAAAGAAAAAGCUGAUAAGAAGGCCAAAGUUGAAGAUUUAAAGGUGGUAUCGAGGACGUCUCAAGGUUCCCAAGGAUCUGGCGAUUAUAACACUUGGGAAAGAUCUGAAAGGACAUACAAAGAGGAACCAAGAGAAAAGCACCGACGAGAAGAAAAACGUGACGAUUUCGAUAAAGAACGAGAAAGAGAUAAGCGCAGAGAACGUAAAGAAGAAAAGAUAGCGAAGCAAGAAGAAAGACAAUACAGAGAAGAGCGAUACACUGAAAUCAGCCCGAAAGAGGAAAUCCGAUAUUCAAGUGAUAGACAGGUGGAUAGAUACUAUGAAGAAAGAGGGGGGCACUACUACCGAGAAGUCCGUGAUGAACGAGAAAUCGGGUUGAGUGGGGGCAAUAAUGGAUCAACUAGUAUGGGAAGACAUAGUCAAGAACCCGAGACCGAUAGAGAUGUAAAAAGAAGAAAAAUGGAUGGUUCUUCUUUGAAGGUUAGUAUCGGAGUGACGUAACAUCGAUGCAGAUUUCAGGGUUCGAACACCCGCUCUGGUAUUUUCUUUGUCCGACACUGGGAGAUUGGGCUGAAAUUUUCAUAGUCGUGCCGUAAAGUGUUAGAUCUGUCACGAAAGUGUUGUAGACUCGAGUGCUUUGUGUGUCUGAAAAACUUUUUGCUGUUUUAAUGGUUACCAACACGACAUGCACGAGUUUCUAAUUUUGACCACGGGUUCCUCACGAUAAUAUUCCAUCCUCCUUUCACGACUGUUUGUCAUUUCGGUGGAGAUUUACAACUUAAUGAUUUCGUCGCUAAACGUCGUCACUAUGCCAUUGAGUCCUAUGUUACCGAAGGAACGAGUAUACGAAUCGAGCUCUUUAAAAAUGGAAGAUUGUAAACGAAAAGUUAGAUUGUCCGUCAGCAACGAUCAAUUCACAAGAUGUCCACGUUAAAAACUCGAAAUGCGAUCGUAGAUUUGUUUCUGGAAUGGUGUUGUUUUGAAGACGAGUGUGUCAAGUGUGAAGAAAAUUCUAAGAAGUGAAGGAGAAGAAGAUAAAUAUGAGGUGUAUGAAGAUUUAGUAAUUUUAAGUGUCAAAAGUGAAAGUCGUGUAAGGGACAGUCUGCAAUCAGCCCAAUCUUCCAUUUUCUUAGUAAUUUUGGGAAGGGAUCCACUCACAGAGAUUUAAUUGGUGUUGUGCCAAAAAGCAAGUCGAGUUGACAGCUAGUACAAAGCAAGCGUACCGGAGGCUGCUAUUGUGCAACACUGUCU